GUACACGCUGUGACUAGCAUAUCAAUAAGCGGAGGAAAAGAAACUAACAAGGAUUCCCCUAGUAACGGCGAGUGAAGCGGGAAGAGCUCAAAUUUGAAAUCUUAGAGGGUUUCCCUUUACGAAUUGUAGUUUAAAGAAGUGUUUUCUGUUGAGGUUUUGGUAAAAGUCCUUUGGAAUAGGACAUCAUAGAGGGUGAGAAUCCCGUAUUUGACCUUUACUUUCAACUUUGUGAUACACUUUCAAAGAGUCGGAUUGUUUGGGAAUGCAGUCCAAAAUGGGUGGUAAUUUCAUCUAAAGCUAAAUAUUGGCGAGAGACCGAUAGCGAACAAGUACCGUGAGGGAAAGAUGAAAAGAACUUUGAAAAGAGAGUUAAACAGUACGUGAAAUUGUCAAAAGGGAAGCGUUUGACACCAGUGUUGUUUUUCUGAAAAUCAAUUAAAGAACUGUUUAUGCUAAGCUGUUUAGACUUUAUCAGCUAUCUGUUUAGUUUUGAGCUUUUCUUUAAUGCACUUUUCAGUUAACAAGUCAACAUCAAUUUCUUUUGCUGUAAAAAAGCUUGAGGAAGGUGGCCUGAGAUUCGUCUUAAGUGUUUAUAGCCUCUUGCCUAUGCAGUCGGAGAGAUUAAGGUCUGCAGCGUAGAUCCUUCGGGGCUAAAUGCAUUUGUGCUAAGUUAUAGCAUUUUAUAGACAACUUGUUGACUAUGAUUUGUCUUGUAGCUUACUCGCUUAUGUUAUUUUACCUACGCUUAGGAUGUUGAAGUCAUCGUAUCGCG
rnacentral:rRNA from 1 species